rnacentral:rRNA from 1 species
AUACGGAGGGGGCUAGCGUUGUUCGGAUUUACUGGGCGUAAAGCGCGCGUAGGCGGAUUAGUAAGUUAGAGGUGAAAUCCCAGGGCUUAACCCUGGAACUGCCUUUAAUACUGCUAGUCUUGAGUUCGAGAGAGGUAAGUGGAAUUCCUAGUGUAGAGGUGAAAUUCGUAGAUAUUAGGAGGAACACCAGUGGCGAAGGCGGCUUACUGGCUCGAUACUGACGCUGAGGUGCGAAAGCGUGGGGAGCAAACAGGAUUAGAUACCCCGGUAGUCC